ensembl:lncRNA
AUAUUUUUAAAAACAUUUUUAUUAAUACACUGGAAUAUCAUUAGAUGACAUGUUUCCUUGUCAGUGUCAGUGCAAAUGCUUUAUGAAAAAUAAUUUAUUUUGAAAAUAACUGAUUGCAGCAUCUUAAAGGAAGGACAGAUGUAGCAUGGCCCUUGGAAAUCAGGUUACCAUCUGUGAUCAUGUAUUCCCCAUGAUUAGAGUGUAGUUAAUGUAGACACCUGCACGUUUGAACACAAAUACACUUAAACAACCUGAGACAAGAACAAAAGUGAGUCCAGGGUUUACUCACAUCAGCAUUUGCUGUUUUAAGCAUUCAGCUUUUGGCUACUUUCAGUACUUCUCUUUGGAAACCCGAGAGAUCACAGAUUAGUUUGCACAGCACACAUUAAAGUGUAUGAUGUUAGGAUUUCAGCUGAACACGCUGUCACACACUUGUGUUUAACAAAAUAACGAUAUCUUCAUUAUCACAUUUAGAAUGGCAGUAAAUUAUUUGUUCCAGUUUAGGAACUUCUAAAAUCCUGGCCUGAUGUUCACAGUGGCUCUACCACACCAGCAAACACAAAGGGGAAGACUGAGGUGAAAGGACACUACUCGACUGCCCACAGAGAGACCAUGCAGUGGCUCUGAUCAGCUGCGUGGGGCAGGAGUUAUAUGGUUCUACUGUCCUCAAAGUUAGCCAGUGUAUCAUGCUAGCUUAAUUUUUCCAUGAACCACUUUCAAGUUAAAGAAAAAAACUCCAGAACCACUCAAAUCAUUACCUGCUCAGUUAGAUAGCCUUGCUCUUAAGUACACUGAUUACAUUGUGGUGAACUGUGUGUUCUCUUCUUGUCAUCCUGGAGGUGGGAAAUAAACUUUUCAGUGUCUCCUCUUUGCUCUCCUUUUCAUAGCAGCAUGCAUGUCAUACUAUGCAGCUCUCGCUGUUCCAACAUUGCCACAUAGUGUGGGUGGAUGACAGCACUCCAUUAAUGAUAUUCACUUUAAAUCUAUUCAAAUAAAUUUAACCAUCUAAUAAAAUCCUGCAGAAUCAUUGCAAAGGAGACUAAAGGUGUUUCUGGCAAUGACACCAUAUCAGGGGAUUAUGGACUGUUUACUAUUAGCAUGACCGAUUAAUUCUUCAAAUGCGCUGAUGGGAGUUCAAAGUUCAAUGGCAAUUUAGAUAAAUGAUAUCAAGGCAAAUUCUGUUAGAACGGACAAUGCACUGUGUGGUCAUGGCGGCUGACAGCUAUUCUCUGCAUAAAUCUGACAGGCUAGGUGUAGUGCAGGAUUCAACCAGAGGAGAGCGCUGUUAUUACAAUUCCACCAUAUAAACCUGAAAUCUGAGCAUAACAGCUAAGUUGUUCAUGUUACUGUUACUUUUAAAUAUGCACAACACUGUUUGUUUUCAGCAGGCAGUGUGAGGGUGCAGGUAUGCAUCAAAGUCAAAAUUCCAUAUCGUCACACUCGAUGCGUGAACUCACAUCGUGACAUCAUUGAAAUGUAAUUUCCAAUGUGACAGUUUGCUUCAUAACUGUAAAACCAGAAAGAAAGAAAACAGUUGCCAUAUUUGUGCAGACUGAGAAAACACACAACAGAUUGUGUCAUUGUGGAAUGAUCUUUGAAACACUGGAAGCCCAUCAGGCCACUGUAACUUCCAUGCAUCGGGAUUCUCCUCCUCUGUCCCUCUGAUAGGGCUGUUCGAUAUAACGAUAUAUAUCGGAUGACGAUAUAAAAACGUCUAUCGUUUCAUUUUACGCUAUCGUUUGUUUCGUGGUGUCGCAAAAUAAACUGUUUACGGCAAUAUUUUUUCAUUAUUUUGAUGGUCACUGUAGUGGCUAUAUUAAUUUCCUAAAGUUCUCUCUUUCUCUUGUAUUUAAUAUAACCACACUACAGACAGACAAGCGCUUGUUUUUAUGGGUUGUCGUUAGCAACAACGACGGUAAAACCACCUCGUGUCCGCUUGUUUAUUUUCCACAUAAACCUUUCACAAUAAAGCUCAAGAUCCUGUUGAGACUUUUCAAAAUAAACUGAAUCACGUGAAAGAUGCAGAGUAUUUACGGAUGAGAAGCAAAAA